rnacentral:tRNA from 1 species
UGAGAUGUGGCUCAGCAGAGUGCUUGUCUAGUAUGCAAAAAUCCCUGGGUUCAGUCUCAGCUUCUUAU